GAACGCUAGCUACAGGCUUAACACAUGCAAGUCGCGGGGCAGCAUGUCGGUUGCUUGCAACCGAUGAUGGCGACCGGCGCACGGGUGAGUAACACGUAUCCAACCUGCCCUUCACCACGGAAUAAUCCAGUGAAAAUUGGUCUAAUACCGUAUGAGGUCAUACGAUGGCAUCAGAAUAUGACGAAAGGUUUGGCGGUGAAGGAUGGGGAUGCGUCUGAUUAGCUUGUUGGUGAGGUAACGGCUCACCAAGGCGACGAUCAGUAGGGGUUCUGAGAGGAAGGUCCCCCACAUUGGAACUGAGACACGGUCCAAACUCCUACGGGAGGCAGCAGUGAGGAAUAUUGGUCAAUGGGCGAGAGCCUGAACCAGCCAAGUAGCGUGCAGGAAGACGGCCCUAUGGGUUGUAAACUGCUUUUAUAUGGGGAUAAAGUGAGUUACGUGUAGCUUAUUGCAGGUACCAUAUGAAUAAGGACCGGCUAAUUCCGUGCCAGCAGCCGCGGUAAUACGGAAGGUCCAGGCGUUAUCCGGAUUUAUUGGGUUUAAAGGGAGCGUAGGCCGCCCCUUAAGCGUGUUGUGAAAUGCCGCGGCUCAACCGUGGCACUGCAGCGCGAACUGGGGGGCUUGAGUGCACGCAACGCAGGCGGAAUUCGUGGUGUAGCGGUGAAAUGCUUAGAUAUCACGAAGAACUCCGAUUGCGAAGGCAGCUUGCGGGAGUGCGACUGACGCUGAAGCUCGAAGGUGCGGGGUAUCGAACAGGAUUAGAUACCCUGGUAGUCCGCACAGUAAACGAUGGAUGCCCGCUGUGUGUCUUAAUGGUACGCGGCCAAGCGAAAGCGUUAAGCAUCU
rnacentral:rRNA from 1 species